CUACGGGGGGCUGCAGUGGGGAAUAUUGGACAAUGGGCGCAAGCCUGAUCCAGCAAUGCCGCGUGAGUGAAGACGGCCUUAGGGUUGUAAAACUCUUUCGCUAGGGAAGAUAAUGACUGUACCUAGUAAAGAAGUCCCGGCUAACUCCGUGCCUGCAGCCGCGGUAAUACGGAGGGGACUAGCGUUGUUCGGAAUUACUGGGCGUAAAGAGUUCGUAGGCGGACUGACAAGUUAGAGGUGAAAUCCCAGGGCUCAACCCUGGAACUGCCUUUAAAACUGUCAGUCUAGAGACCGGAAGAGGUUAGGGGAAUACCUAGUGUAGAGGUGAAAUUCGUAGAUAUUAGGUGGAACACCAGUGGCGAAGGCGCCUAACUGGUCCGGUACUGACGCUGAGGAACGAAAGCGUGGGGAGCAAACAGGAUUAGAUACCCGGGUAGUC
rnacentral:rRNA from 1 species